rnacentral:rRNA from 1 species
AGAGUUUGAUCAUGGCUCAGAUUGAACGCUGGCGGCAUGCUUUACACAUGCAAGUCGAACGGCAGCGCGGGGGCAACCCUGGCGGCGAGUGGCGAACGGGUGAGUAAUGCAUCGGAACGUAUCCUGUAAUGGGGGAUAACGUAGCGAAAGUUACGCUAAUACCGCAUACGCUCGAGAGAGGAAAGUGGGGGAUCGCAAGACCUCACGUUAUAGGAGCGGCCGAUGUCCGAUUAGCUAGUUGGUGGGGUAAAAGGCCUACCAAGGCGACGAUCGGUAGCUGGUCUGAGAGGAUGAUCAGCCACACUGGGACUGAGACACGGCCCAGACUCCUACGGGAGGCAGCAGUGGGGAAUUUUGGACAAUGGGCGAAAGCCUGAUCCAGCCAUGCCGCGUGCGGGAAGAAGGCCUUCGGGUUGUAAACCGCUUUAGUCCGGGAAAAAGGGGUGCGAGGAUAAUACCCUUGUGCUUUGAUGGUACUGGAAGAAUAAGCACCGGCUAACUACGUG